rnacentral:rRNA from 1 species
CCAUUUUGAAGCUAUAAACUUAGCCUAUUACCUCUUUAUCCCUUUUCUCACCAAAUAAAACAUUUUCUUAUCCUAGUAGAGGUGAUCAAAAAGAUAAUAAGCGCUUUAUAAAAAGUACCGCAAGGAAAAGUGAAAUAGUUCUGAAAUAGUCUCAAAGCACCAAAUAGCAGAGACUAGCUCUCGUACCUUUUGCAUCAUGGUUUAACUAGUCCUAACAAGCAAAACGAACUGUCAGUUUGAUCCCCCGAAACUAGGCGAGCUACUUCGAAACAGCUCUAAGAGCUAACCCGUCUCUGUUGCAAAAGAGUGGGAAGAUUUCCAAGUAGAAGUGAAAAGCCUACCGAGCCUAGAGAUAGCUGGUUACUCAAAAAAAGAAUUUUAGUUCGCCCGGAAGUUUUUCUAUUUCACCAAAAAGCAUCUAAAACUUAUGAGUUACUCAAAUAAGGCACAGCUUAUUUGAAAAAGGAUACAACCUAAACCAAGGGUUAGCCUGUCAUCUCCCCCUAAGUGGGCCUAAAAGCAGCCACCUUUUAAAAAGCGUUAAAGCUUAAUAAUAACCUCCCCCCCACAAUCCCUCUUUCUAUCGAACCCUGCUUACAAUAUUGAGUAACCUUAUAAGAUUAUAAGAGAUAUAAUGUUAAAACUAGUAACAUGAAGAAGUCCUUCUCCCUAAUGCAAGCAAACACCAAAACGGACUAACCAUUGGCCUUUAACGUUCAUGAGCCUAACCUAGUAACACCCCUUCGAAAACCCUACGCCUACCCACGUUAACCUUACACUAGAGCAUUACCGGAAAGAUAAAAAGAAAAAGAAGGAACUCGGCAAAUCUAGAUCCCGCCUGUUUACCAAAAACAUCGCCUCUUGACAUCCCACCCUUAUAAGAGGUCUAGCCUGCCCAGUGAUAUUUUUAACGGCCGCGGUACUCUGACCGUGCGAAGGUAGCAUAAUCACUUGUUCUUUAAAUGAGGACUAGUAUCAACGGCAUCACGAGGAUUUUACUGUCUCCUUUUUCCUAUCGGUGAAACUGAUCUCCCCGUGAAGAAGCGGGGAUAUUACUAUAAGACGAGAAGACCCCAUGGAGCUUUAAACCCAGAGACACCUCAAACCCUUCCCCCCAUAAAAGUUCUUAUGUGCUGUCCUCUGGUUUUAGGUUGGGGUGACCGCGGAGUAAAACUUAACCUCCACAACGCACGGAACUUCUUCCUUAUCUAAGAGCAACAUCUCAAAGAAUUAACACAUUAACGUAAAAUGUACCAAUAACCUUUAUUUUGAUUAACGAACCAAGUUACCCUGGGGAUAACAGCGCAAUCCAUUUCCAGAGCCCCUAUCGACAAAUGGGUUUACGACCUCGAUGUUGGAUCAGGGUAUCCCAGUGGUGCAGCC